GGUUAAGCGACUAAGCGUACACGGUGGAUGCCUAGGCAGUCAGAGGCGAUGAAGGGCGUGCUAAUCUGCGAAAAGCGUCGGUAAGCUGAUAUGAAGCGUAAUAACCGACGAUACCCGAAUGGGGAAACCCAGUGCAAUUCGUUGCACUAUUGCAUGGUGAAUACAUAGCCAUGCAAGGCGAACCGGGGGAACUGAAACAUCUAAGUACCCCGAGGAAAAGAAAUCAACCGAGAUUCCCCCAGUAGCGGCGAGCGAACGGGGAAGAGCCCAGAGUCUGAAUCAGUUUGUGUGUUAGUGGAAGCGUCUGGAAAGUCGCACGGUACAGGGUGAUAGUCCCGUACACAAAAACACACUGGCUGUGAACUCGAUGAGUAGGGCGGGACACGUGACAUCCUGUCUGAAUAUGGGGGGACCAUCCUCCAAGGCUAAAUACUCCUGACUGACCGAUAGUGAACCAGUACCGUGAGGGAAAGGCGAAAAGAACCCCGGCGAGGGGAGUGAAAUAGAACCUGAAACCGUGUACGUACAAGCAGUGGGAGCACCUUCGUGGUGUGACUGCGUACCUUUUGUAUAAUGGGUCAGCGACUUAUAUUUUGUAGCAAGGUUAACCGAAUAGGGGAGCCGUAGGGAAACCGAGUCUUAACUGGGCGUCUAGUUGCAAGGUAUAGACCCGAAACCCGGUGAUCUAGCCAUGGGCAGGUUGAAGGUUGGGUAACACUAACUGGAGGACCGAACCGACUAAUGUUGAAAAAUUAGCGGAUGACUUGUGGCUGGGGGUGAAAGGCCAAUCAAACCGGGAGAUAGCUGGUUCUCCCCGAAAGCUAUUUAGGUAGCGCCUCGUGAACUCAUCUUCGGGGGUAGAGCACUGUUUCGGCUAGGGGUCCAUCCCGGAUUACCAAACCGAUGCAAACUCCGAAUACCGAAGAAUGUUAUCACGGGAGACACACGGCGGGUGCUAACGUCCGUCGUGAAGAGGGAAACAACCCAGACCGCCAGCUAAGGUCCCAAAGUCAUGGUUAAGUGGGAAACGAUGUGGGAAGGCAUAGACAGCCAGGAUGUUGGCUUAGAAGCAGCCAUCAUUUAAAGAAAGCGUAAUAGCUCACUGGUCGAGUCGGCCUGCGCGGAAGAUGUAACGGGGCUAAACCAUGCACCGAAGCUGCGGCAGCGACGCUUAGGCGUUGUUGGGUAGGGGAGCGUUCUGUAAGCCGUUGAAGGUGGCCUGUGAGGGCUGCUGGAGGUAUCAGAAGUGCGAAUGCUGACAUAAGUAACGAUAAUGCGGGUGAAAAACCCGCACGCCGGAAGACCAAGGGUUCCUGUCCAACGUUAAUCGGGGCAGGGUGAGUCGACCCCUAAGGCGAGGCUGAAAAGCGUAGUCGAUGGGAAACAGGUUAAUAUUCCUGUACUGGGUGUGACUGCGAAGGGGGGACGGAGAAGGCUAGGCUAGCCGGGCGACGGUUGUCCCGGUUUAAGCAUGUAGGCGGAGCGACUUGGUAAAUCCGGUUGCUUAUCAACGCUGAGGUGUGAUGACGAGCCACUACGGUGGUGAAGUAGUUGAUGCCAAGCUUCCAGGAAAAGCCUCUAAGCAUCAGGUGACAUUCAAUCGUACCCCAAACCGACACAGGUGGUCAGGUAGAGAAUACUCAGGCGCUUGAGAGAACUCGGGUGAAGGAACUAGGCAAAAUGGUGCCGUAACUUCGGGAGAAGGCACGCUGGCAUUAGGUAAAGAGACUUGCUCUCGGCGCCGAAGCCAGUCGCAGAUACCAGCUGGCUGCAACUGUUUAAUAAAAACACAGCACUGUGCAAACACGAAAGUGGACGUAUACGGUGUGACGCCUGCCCGGUGCUGGAAGGUUAAUUGAUGGGGUCAGCCGCAAGGCGAAGCUCUUGAUCGAAGCCCCAGUAAACGGCGGCCGUAACUAUAACGGUCCUAAGGUAGCGAAAUUCCUUGUCGGGUAAGUUCCGACCUGCACGAAUGGCGUAAUGAUGGCCAGGCUGUCUCCACCCGAGACUCAGUGAAAUUGAACUCGCUGUGAAGAUGCAGUGUACCCGCGGCAAGACGGAAAGACCCCGUGAACCUUUACUAUAGCUUGACACUGAAUAUUGAGCCUUGAUGUGUAGGAUAGGUGGGAGGCAUCGAAGCGUGGACGCCAGUCUGCGUGGAGCCAACCUUGAAAUACCACCCUUUAAUGUUUGAUGUUCUAACUCGGCCCCAUAAUCUGGGGUGAGGACAGUGUCUGGUGGGUAGUUUGACUGGGGCGGUCUCCUCCCAAAGAGUAACGGAGGAGCACGAAGGUUAGCUAAUCACGGUCGGACAUCGUGAGGUUAGUGCAAAGGCAUAAGCUAGCUUGACUGCGAGAGUGACGGCUCGAGCAGGUACGAAAGUAGGUCUUAGUGAUCCGGUGGUUCUGAAUGGAAGGGCCAUCGCUCAACGGAUAAAAGGUACUCCGGGGAUAACAGGCUGAUACCGCCCAAGAGUUCAUAUCGACGGCGGUGUUUGGCACCUCGAUGUCGGCUCAUCACAUCCUGGGGCUGAAGUAGGUCCCAAGGGUAUGGCUGUUCGCCAUUUAAAGUGGUACGCGAGCUGGGUUUAGAACGUCGUGAGACAGUUCGGUCCCUAUCUGCCGUGGGCGUUGGAAGAUUGAGAGGGGCUGCUCCUAGUACGAGAGGACCGGAGUGGACGCAUCACUGGUGUUCGGGUUGUCAUGCCAAUGGCAUUGCCCGGUAGCUAAAUGCGGAAAAGAUAAGCGCUGAAAGCAUCUAAGCGCGAAACUUGCCUCGAGAUGAGUCUUCCCUGGGGCUUUAAGCCCCCUGAAGGAACGUUAAAGACUAUGACGUUGAUAGGCUGGGUGUGUAAGUGCAGCGAUGCAUUGAGCUAACCAGUACUAAUGAUCCGUGAGGCUUAACCUU
rnacentral:rRNA from 1 species